rnacentral:rRNA from 1 species
UACCAGCACCCCGAGUGGUCGGGACGUUUAUUGGGCCUAAAGCAUCCGUAGCCGGUUCUACAAGUCUUCCGUUAAAUCCACCUGCUUAACAGAUGGGCUGCGGAAGAUACUAUGGAGCUAGGAGGCGGGAGAGGCAAGCGGUACUUUAUGGGUAGGGGUAAAAUCCGUUGAUCCAUAGAAGACCACCAGUGGCGAAGGCGGCUUGCCAGAACGCGCUCGACGGUGAGGGAUGAAAGCUGGGGGAGCAAACCGG